GCGACAGGACGGAAAGACCCCAUGGAGCUUUACUGUAGCUUGACAUUGGGUCUUGGUACUACAUGUACAGGAUAGGUGGGAGGCUUUGAAACCAGGACGCCAGUUUUGGCGGAGCCAUCCUUGGGAUACCACCCUUGUAGUACUGGGACUCUAACCAUAGGCCCUGAAUCUGGUCUUGGGACACUGUCAGGUGGGCAGUUUGACUGGGGCGGUCGCCUCCCAAAAGGUAACGGAGGCGCUCAAAGGUUCUCUCAGUACGGUCGGAAAUCGUACGUAGAGUGUAAAGGCAAAAGAGAGCUUGAUUGCAAGACAUACAGGUCGAGCAAGGAUGAAAAUCGGACUUAGUGAUCCGGUGGUUCUGCGUGGAAGGGCCAUCGCUCAACGGAUAAAAGCUACCCUGGGGAUAACAGGCUUAUCUCCCCCAAGAGUCCACAUCGACGGGGAGGUUUGGCACCUCGAUGUCGGCUCAUCACAUCCUGGGGCUGUAGUAGGUCCCAAGGGUUGGGCUGUUCGCCCAUUAAAGUGGUACGCGAGCUGGGUUCAGAACGUCGUGAGACAGUUCGGUCCCUAUCCGUCGCAGGCGUAGGAAAUUUGAGAAGACCUGUCCUUAGUACGAGAGGACCGGGAUGGACGUACCUCUGGUGUACCAGUUGUCCUGCCAAGGGCAUGGCUGGGUAGCUAUGUACGGAAUGGAUAAGCGCUGAAAGCAUCUAAGCGCGAAGCCAACUUCAAGAUAAGAUUUCCCACCGCAAGGGUAAGACCCCAGAAAGACUAUCUGGUUG
rnacentral:rRNA from 1 species